AUCUUGCAUUGCCGAACUUGAAGUAUAAUAAUGAUUGGCUUCUAUGACUAUUACAUGCCAUUAUAUUGUUGUUUCAUUUCAUAAUUCAAUUUUAAAAUAAAGAAUGUUGAAUUGUGCAUGCUGAAUUUUUAUUUGGUACAUGAGCAAAAUGUGAUUACGGAAUAGAAUAUUUCAGCGUCAGUUUGUUUCCGGAGAAUUCAUAUUUUUUUUUCCAGUGAGAAGCAUUGUUAAUUGAUGUCAUGAUCCUUGGUGAUUUCUCCUUCAGCAUAUGUAAUUUUAAGAGAUCAUACUUUUGGAUGGACUAUACACAAGUCUAAAUUAAGCAUUUUGUUAAAUCUGUAAUUUUUAUGCUACUUCCUCUACUAUUUUUCUCAGGGAAGUUUCUAUGCACCAUAUAUCUACCCAUAUAUCUGUAGCAUAUUAACAGAUCUGUAAACCAUGGAUGGUGAUGUUCACUUGCACAGGAAAAGUAGCGGAAAGUAUCUUUAUGGAUGUGGCCUCAAAGAACAUGAGGAAGUUUCUAUGCACCAUAUAUCUUCCCAUAUAUCUGUAGCAUAUUAACAGAUCUGUAAACCAUGGAUGGUGAUGUUCACUUGCACAGGAAAAGUAGCGGAAAGUAUCUUUAUGGAUGUGGGCUUGAAGAACAUGAGGAAGUUUCUAUGCACCAUAUAUCUUCCCAUAUAUCUGUAGCAUAUUAACAGAUCUGUAAACCAUGGAUGGUGAUGUUCACUUGCACAGGAAAAGUAGCGGAAAGUAUCUUUAUGGAUGUGGGCUUGAAGAACAUGAGUAAGCUCUAUUAUUACUCCUUUUCUUUUUCUAUCCAUGGUGUUGAUAGAUAUCUAAAGUCAUUUUAUUGGUAUGAAUGAUACCCAUCAUCUUCUAUCCUAAUUAAUUAAUAUUGUUCUUUAAUAUUACAAUGUCAGUAAUAAGUUCUCUUAUCCUUUGACAUUUGAAUGAAAUGUAAUAUUGAAAUUUACUAACCAAUAAUAAUUUAGAAUUAAUUACAAAAAAAUUAUAAUUCAGAGAUAAAGUUUUUGAAGCUAAAUAUUUAAUGAAUAUACAUA